GGAAAGGAGGGCGAAAAUGGAGUUAGAGAUUUGGAUAUAAUGCAACAUUGGAAUGAGUAUAUAGGAGAAAAAAAAAUAUGUUAAAAAUAAUAGAAAGGAGAAAGAAUAAUUUUAGUGGGAGGGAAAUUAGAUAGAAUGUAAAUCUUCCUAUCCGUUUUCAUAGAUAUUUAAAUAUUUUCACCAAGUUUACAACAAAAUUUUCAAUUAGUAACUAUUUUCUUAAAUUUACAUAAAAAGUUUUACCAAAAAGUUUUUCAUUGGUAAUUAUUUUAUCAUCUAUUGAAAAAAUUUAAUUCAUUUUUUGUUUAUAUUUAUUAUUUAUCGACGGAUUAGCAACGGAAUUAUACCAAUGGAAAACUUCCGUUAGUAACUCUGUCUGUAAUUUAAUAUAUAAUUUUCAUUGAUAAUUAUUUUAUUCUUUUUAUCAUCCAAAUUUGUUGGUAAAUUAUUUAAUUUAUUUUUCAUUUGUUUUUAAUUAUUUACCAACAGAUUAACAUCGAAAUUGUAACAAUGGAAGACUUCCGUUGGGAACCCCAUCGAUAAUUUAAUAUUUACUUUUUAAAAAUAAUAAAAUAAUAAUUCGUUGCUAAUUUGUUAUUAAUUCAUUGGUAUUAGCAACAAAAGACUUCCAUCGCCAAAUUUCCAUCUCUGUUGCCUCCCUUUCUAGUAGUACUCAAAAUUCAGGCACGAUUUCAUCACCAGGUCUGAGAAUUGAUAUUGUUCAAGUUUUGUUGCAUAUAGCCUUACAAAAUUAGUUAAGUAUGUAAUGUAUUAUUGCAAUAAGACUACUUGUACACCCAAAUGUGUACAAUUUGGUUGACACUUUCUAUGUGUUAAAAAUCUAACCAUUGAUUGAAUAAAGUAUUUUUAAAAUCAAUAUAUUCAAAUUUGCCAACACACAGGAGUGUAAGCCAAAGUGUAAAUCAAGGUGUACAAAUAGCAUGGCUCAUCCUAACUUUUUACCAUCAGUACAUAAGUUUAUUGGUUCUUAUGAAGUGGGAUUGUUAAGCAGAGCAAUAUCAAAAGGCAAAUAAUAUUUUACAGCUCAAGCAUACCAAUCACUGUAACAACGUUUAUGCUACAAGUACGAGCUUUUUGCUCCCAGAUGAAGCACAUCUCAAUUGACUGCUGCUUUAUUUGAUGGAUAAAAAUUAUUGUACAUAAUU
rnacentral:sRNA from 1 species